GGGUUGACGCGGAGUGUGGGGUGUGAUUUGAAAUCCACAGUGGUCUACAAGGAUCUGCGACUUGUCGAGUCUUCGGCGAGUGAGUGAGUUAUGCUCUGCCUUUAUUUUCCCGAAACGGGUUGUGAAAGAAGUGCCGCGACACCGGUGGGAACUGUCGUCAGAGUUGUUCGGUGAAGGCCUCUCGCUUACUGGGAGAAUUAGGGUUUCGUGGGGGUUGGGCGGAGUUCACGACACCCCCCCCCCCCUCUGGAGGAUGGGGAGGGAGGGGAGGGAGCGCGUUUCGGUGCGCCUCCGGUGCUGUGGACUCUUGUUGCAGGAAUGGCGGGGGCUGGUUUUUUAGGCUGGGAGCGUGGAGAGAUCGAAUUGAGCAGUUUUUUUCUUUUUCUUUUUCUUUUUCUCUGUUAAAAAAUAAUUUUGCUGCUCCGAAUGUGGUGGUGGGAACAGUGGCGAGUGUGUGUUGGAUUUAGUCUGUUUUUUUUUUUGAGCAGUGGCUGGAGGUGUCAGUUCUGGUGUUUGCCACCGAAGCAGCACUUGCCUUCUUUGGCCCUUCCUGGGUUUCAUGCGUGCUUGUUGACCCCACCAGGUUUCUCUUUGACUCACUCAAGAUUUUGAGACUUCUUUGGGUGGGAAAUUAGACAGGAGGCGAAAAGCGAGGGAGAAAGGAAAGGCGAAAGCCAUACGUACAAGCAAACUUUGUGGUGACAUUCUCUUUUCCCAACGCUAAGCAUUUUAGAACCAAAUUGUGGAGCACGGUAAGGGGGAGAAGCAGAAAGACACGUUCUCUGACACUCACAUGAAUUACCGGACCCUCAUGAAUUUUCUGGCGAUAUCAGAUUUGUUUGAUGAGAUGGGUUUCACGCAGAGUUAUGAGAAAUUCUGUGUGACGAGAUUUUGAAAGUGACAUGCAAUCCAUGUGUGAGCUUCCUUUUAGGGCUGCUGGGUUGAUUCUUAUAAUUCUGCUUGCUCGUUGUGCUUAAAGCGACUUCGAUCGACGAAGCUGUGAAACACAGGGUUUGGGUGUGCGAGAGGUAAUUGUGGCCAAUCUAAUCUUAGGGUGCUAGCAGCGAACUGACGUUGUAAGCAUCCAAUUUUGGUACAAGUGACGCGGGCUUCUGCAGCUCGCUUCUUCUACACUGCCAACUCGGUUCGAUGUUCUAAUUCGUGUAAAAGUUGUUUUGAAUUAUGUUUGAAGGGAGGCUGGGCUUGUCAGUCGGGUGCGAUGUUGCCGUACCGUGUCGUAGCUCUCCUUGCAACUAGAAAAGCUUUAAAAGGUAAUAAAUAGAAGGCUCUUUCAUGAAAGGAUUAGCAAUAAGACACUAAUCUUGUCAUGAAAAGACUUGUAUCAAAUAUCAAUUGAAAUACCAAUUCAAGCUGUUCAAGUUUCUUCUAUUUCGUGGGUUGAUUGUUGGCUGUAACCAGUACAUUCAUAUUGACAGGCUUUUGGCCUAACGCUUCGUUAACUCUUUCUGUUACAAUGACUUGAGAAUUGGUUUUAAUGGUUUUGUGCACGUGCAGAUUAGAUGUGUGUAUGUGAAUGUGUACGUAUAUAUAUAUAUAUAUAUAUAUAUGUUAGAGAUCAUUGGUUCUUAACGUGUCCAAAUUCAGGCGAUUUCCAAAUAAGUUUGUUUGUAAAAGAGGGUGAAUCAAGCUUCUAACCCAUUUAUUCAAACAUAUGAAUUAAAAUGUAUCAAUAUCAGUCUCGAGGAAAAUAGAAUGAUGCAAAACAUGUUUACUUGAAAACUGAAGUUCGUACAGAAAUCUAGCUUAACCAAGUUCUUAAUUCUCUAUUAAAAUUAUUAAUUACUUUUCUCCACACCAUGUUUCAGGUUUGUGUAACAGUUUCGUUAACCAAAAAUAAUUUAGUAAACAUCAUAAAAUUUCAAGAGCAGCCCAUGGAUUCUUUAACAAAGUCCACAUUGAAAUCCUCAGACAAAUCUUCAAUGCGAAAACAUCACUUGGCUGAAUGGUUGAGCAGGAUACGAAAUAAGCACACAUGAAUGCUGCUCAAGUGGUCAAGGAAACCAACCAGAUGAGAUAUGUAACAUUUAUAUUUCCAAGACAUUUACAGAAAAUUAGAUAUUGAACGUUGCCAAAACGUUCAGCACUUCGUUCAGAAGGUAUAUAAAAAAUAUAAGUAAAUUUUCAAAAAAUAAAACCCAAGUACCGUCUUUUAUAACCAUAAGAACUACUUUAAGCCUCCCUCAUAAAACGAUGCUACAAGGUAAAGGACAUAGAAAGACCUUGUCAGAUUCUCCACUACUUCCCGGCUACAGAUUGCCACUUCAACUAAAACUGAACAUAAAGUUACGCAUCAUCAAUAGUAUCCACAAGAUUGAUAUUGAUGUUCCAAAGCCCUGCCCUAAGCAAAAGCAUAUAAGAGGCUUCAAAAACUUUGCCUCUAAUCUACCCUACAAGCUCGAAUGAAGUGCAAUCACAAAAAUCAAGAUUUUCCAUUUUUUCUAAUUUUUACUUUUUUGGUUUCAGAUAAGGGAAGAAACUGAAACUACAGCUAGACUGGCUUAUUCAAAAUGCCAGCGCAGGUGGUGCAACAUUAACUUACACAAGCUGGCCCAGUAACAUUGGCGAAGAAUUUGUACGAGAGCUGCCAGUCGCUGUUUCAUGAGAUGAAUACUCGAGCCUCGCGGUCAUUAUUUGACCAUGGUGGGAAAGGGGGAUAUAGAUACACACUAAUGUUACAGCCCAAAGUCACGACUCAGCGACGAGUCGGUGUACUAUGAGAGGUGAAAUAAUUGAAGUCUGAAUGCAGAUGUUGAACACGCAAAUCCUUGAGAUGGUCGUCGGCCUUCCUCUGCAACAUUGCUACUUGUCGCCUCUCGGAACUUGAAGACCAGACAGCACCUCUGAGCUUGUACGAUGCCAGCCCAAAUGCACGAAGCGGUAGAGGUUCCAGAGGAGGGACAUUUUGAGCUACACACACACCCUCGCGACGCGGUGACCUCAUGGAAGCAUCUGCAAAAUAUAACACGCGGAAGAGUUAGAUCACCAGGACGGUAGACACAGAUUAUCAGCACUAAGUCCUCUCUAACAUUCCUCAA
rnacentral:lncRNA from 1 species